UACCAUCGUCGCGUAGCUGGUGCUGUCUAGAUGUAUAGAUGGCUGAAGAGGGAAUCUGGUGAAAAUCCAGAACUGACGCGCAGCGGUAAAAGAGAACGAACACUCUCAAGACACUGCAUCUAGUUUGAUGUGGGAAGUCGAGUUAGUAGGCAAAGCAGCAAGCUCUUAAGUCCGAAUACCUGCCAGCAACUGAGCCAAACC
rnacentral:ncRNA from 1 species